AACGAACGCUGGCGGCAUGCCUAACACAUGCAAGUCGAACGAGACCUUCGGGUCUAGUGGCGCACGGGUGCGUAACGCGUGGGAACCUGCCCUUAGGUUCGGAAUAACUCCCCGAAAGGGGUGCUAAUACCGGAUAAUGUCUUCGGACCAAAGAUUUAUCGCCUUUGGAUGGGCCCGCGUUGGAUUAGCUAGUUGGUAGGGUAAAAGCCUACCAAGGCGACGAUCCAUAGCUGGUCUGAGAGGAUGAUCAGCCACACUGGGACUGAGACACGGCCCAGACUCCUACGUGAGGCAGCAGUGGGGAAUAUUGGACAAUGGGCGAAAGCCUGAUCCAGCAAUGCCGCGUGAGUGAUGAAGGCCUUAGGGUUGUAAAGCUCUUUUACCCGGGAUGAUAAUGACAGUACCGGGAGAAUAAGCUCCGGCUAACUCCGUG
rnacentral:rRNA from 1 species